rnacentral:lncRNA from 1 species
UAGAAGAUGGCAUUAGGUCCUCUGGAACUGUAGUUAUAGAUGGCAGUUAGCUACUCUGUGAGUUCUGGGAACCUGUCCCCUGCAGAGCUGUCUCUUCAGCCUGCCAUGCUACAUUUCUUGAGUUAGCUCUUAUGUCUGUCAUAGAAUAGUAUGUAUUUCCAUCUCCAGUAAGGCAAGGGAGGACCCCAUAAGAGAUGGAAGUGAGGGAUUGCUUUAUGCUUCUUUUUGAAAAAAAAAUUAUAUAUUUACUUGUAUGUGUAUAUUUUUCUGUGAGUAAGUCCCAUGUGUGCAUAGGUACCUCAAAGACCAGGAGAGGGUCUCUGAUCCCUUGGAGUUUGAGGUACAGGUGGUUAUCAAGCCACCUGAUAUAUAGGUUCCAGGAACCAAAUUUGAGUUUCAAGCAAAAGCAGGAAGUGCUCUUAAUAUCUGAGUACUUUUUAUUUUAUUUUUUAAAAAAGAUUUGUUUCUUUUUAUGUUCAUUGAUGUUUUGCCUGCAUGUAUGUCUGUGUGAGGGCACCAGAACCUCUGGAUCUAGAAUUACAGUUGUGUGCUGCCAUGUGAGUGCUGGGAAUUGAACCUGGGUCCUCUGGAAGAGCAGCCACUGCUCUUAACCACUGAGCCAUUUUUCCAGCCAAUGUCUGAGUACUUUUGAAAGAAUAUUUUUGAUAUGAAUCUUAUGAAAAGGAAAGUGUCUUAGCUAGCAGCUGUCUGCAGUGAUAUAGGGCUGAAGGCAGGCUAGUCUUAGCCUCUAGGCUGCUUUCAGUACAGAUUUGGGGAAGAAGAACAGGUGGCUCCUGGGGACAUGUGUUUCCAUUUUCAGCCUGUUCUCAUCUUCUGAGCCACUUGAGCUGGAGUUAAGGUGCUCCCAGGCAACUGAUUGAUGCUGGGAGGAGCUGGAGAUGAGGCUCUCUGAGGUGAUGUUUGGAGAGUGGCCCUCAGCGUGUGCUUUCCUCUUCCCAAGUACUGUCUUCUGUGGAGUGCACAGGGAGUCCCAUGUGAGUUUUCAGUUCUUUGAGGAGAGCAAGUCAUUGCAGAGGAACACAGUGGUGCAGAAAUGACUCCCUCAGCAGGUGCAAAUGUGUUGUAGGCCUGUCUGUGGGAUGACAGGUGGCAAUGGGGUAUGCAGUGCAGUUGUUUUGAAGGCAGGUUCAAAGGGCAAUACAAUGGGGGAGAAAGUGUUGUGUGGAAACUGUAAGUUUGGGACACAUAAGGGUCAGAUUUUCUCAGUCAUGCAUUCUUCUGUGACUGGAUCACAUCGUUCACUUGUUUGGUAUGAUGCCAGACCUUUUUGGAGUUACUUGAAUGUUGUGAGCAGGUUGUAUGUUCAGUCUCUAGCUAUUAGAUCAAAGGCAGUGAAUUUUUUUUUUUUUUUUUUAGUGUAGGGAUGUGUUUUCUCUGUGAUGUAAAAGUGCUGUUUGGAAUUGUGAUGGGUGGUAGGUCCUGCUUUGGUACACUGGUUGCUCUUCAGAGGACCUGUGUUAGAUUUCCAGGACCUACAUGGCAACUUACAACCGCCUGGGGGUCCAAAGCCCUGUUUUGGCCUCCUUGGGCACCAAGUACAUAGACAGACUUACAUGUUGGCAAAACACCCAUACACAUAAAAAACAUUUUUUAAUCCC